AGUUCGACGGGGUCGACGGCGCGCGUCACGACUAGGUAGUCGCGCAUCACGAUGCCGUGCCGGUUUUC
rfam:Rhodococcus sp. WMMA185, complete genome.